rnacentral:rRNA from 1 species
CGCCCGCCGCGCGCGGCGGGCGGGGCGGGGGCACGGGGGGCGUACGGGAGGCAGCAGUGGGGAAUAUUGCACAAUGGGCGCAAGCCUGAUGCAGCAACGCCGCGUGAGUGAUGAAGGUCUUCGGAUUGUAAAGCUCUGUCUUUGGGGACGAUAAUGACGGUACCCAAGGAGGAAGCCACGGCUAACUACGUGCCAGCAGCCGCGGUAAUACGUAGGUGGCAAGCGUUGUCCGGAUUUACUGGGCGUAAAGGGUGCGUAGGUGGAUAUUUAAGUCAGAUGUGAAAUCCCUGGGCUCAACCCAGGACCUGCAUUUGAAACUGGAUGUCUAGAGUGCGGGAGAGGUAAGUGGAAUUCCUAGUGUAGCGGUGAAAUGCGUAGAGAUUAGGAAGAACACCAGUGGCGAAGGCGACUUACUGGACCGUAACUGACACUGAGGCACGAAAGCGUGGGUAGCAAACAGGAUUAGAUACCCUGGUAGUCCACGCCGUAAACGAUGAGUACUAGGUGUAGGGGGUAUCGACUCCCCCUGUGCCGCAGUUAACACAAUUAGUACUCCGCCUGGGAAGUACGAUCGCAAGAUUAAAACUCGAAGGAAUUGACGGGG